CAAUGGGGGAAACCCUGACGCAGCAACGCCGCGUGGGUGAAGAAGGCCUUCGGGUCGUAAAGCCCUGUCAAGUGGGAAGAAACGCUCAGGUGUGAAUAGUGCCUGGGCCUGACGGUACCACUGAAGGAAGCACCGGCUAACUCCGUGCCAGCAGCCGCGGUAAUACGGAGGGUGCGAGCGUUAUUCGGAAUCACUGGGCGUAAAGCGCGUGCAGGCGGUGAGGCAAGUCAGGUGUGAAAGCCCUCGGCUUAACCGAGGAAGUGCACUUGAAACUGCCUUUCUUGAGUACGGGAGAGGGAAGUGGAAUUCCCAGUGUAGAGGUGAAAUUCGUAGAUAUUGGGAGGAACACCGGUGGCGAAGGCGACUUCCUGGACCGAUACUGACGCUAAAGCGCGAAAGCGUGGGGAGCAAACAGGAUUAGAUACCCUGGUAGUCCACGCCGUAAACGAUG
rnacentral:rRNA from 1 species